CCUAUCAGUCGAUCUCGCCUCCUCCAUCACCAAACAACAGGAAGGAAAGAAGGGCUCCGUCUCCUCCUUGACGCCAGAGGCCCUCUCUCACUCUCUCUCUCUCUCCAUCGGGAGCGAAACUGGGGGUACUCGAACUAAGCACAGAAUUCUGGACAGUUGGUCCUCCACUUGAACCCGGCAAACUCUUAUCGUUUUUUAAGUACAGGUAGGACCAAACAGUUAGUAGAUUGAGGAACCCUGAGCUAGUUCUCUUAUGGUCCCACACACCCCAGGCCUCUCACUGCUCUUAAAUCGGCCAACAAAUUUCAAACGGAGCAUCCCUUUUUCAAGGUGUUGAUGAGGCCAUCUUAUGUUAAGUAUAGCUUGGGAGACAGCUCCUGUUCAAUUCAUCAGGCAACAUAUUCAGGAAAAGAAGUAAAUUGCAACUCUCAGGUAUUUAGAUAGGUUGUGGAUGGUGAAGCUCAGGAGCCGUGGACGUGACCAAGGGGAAUUUUUUUGCAAGAGAAGUUUGUCCACAUGUAGGAAUGUUUGUGUGUUUGAGCUCAUUGAUAGGGAGGUAUUGUGUUCAAAGUCUACAUUUCCACUAGUGCUGGUAAGGACUUGAUUUAAUUGAGAUAGAGAUCAACUCAAAAAAUUUCACUUUGGCUGGUGCAAAAUAAGUGUUGUAUUAUCUCCUUUAGUUUGUCUUGAUGAAUCAAUGAAGUGUGCUUCUAUUCUGAUUGGGUUUGUGAGGUUCAUAAUAUUCUAGAUGCACACUCAUUAAUGCCACAUUCCAAAUCUAAAUGAACCGAAAAGGAUGUGCUUCAGGAUGUCUUGUUUGAUUUAUGCGUUCUUGCUGUUCAAUUUGAAUUUGAAAUCAAGUGUCAAGGGCUUAAGAAGAUUUGUGGGUUUUAUUUUUCUCAGAGGGACUACCAAAGAGGUUCAUGAGAAAAUAUGGUGAGAAUUUCUCUAGAAGGAUGCUCCUGAGAGUGUCAAAUUGUGCAUUUUAUUGGCCUGUGAAAUGGGGAAUAUGUGAUGAGAUGGUUUCAUUAUCAAAGGGUUGGAAUGAAUUUGCAGAGCAUUACUUUACUUGUGAGGGCCAAAUUUUGAUCUUCAAAUUUGAAUGGACUCCAUUUUCCAUGUAAUCAUAUUUGAUUAUUGCACGUCCGAGAUAGAAUAUCCGCCAACAAAUGCUGAUUUGAGGAACCAAGCCUCGGCAAUUGUGGAUUUGUCUUGCCGAAAGUGAAUUGCAUUCACCCAAGUGUCCUCAGCAUUGUAUGGCAAGGAAUCUCAUCAGGUUUGUGGAGUUCAUGGCCUGUGUACAAUCAUCAUCACAGAGUUUGGGGAGAGAUGAAAGUUUGAACUGCUCUUCAUGAGAUUUUCAAGGUGUUAAUCUCAAUCUACUAGCUAAUUCUCCCCUUGAUUGUGUUGUUCUCGUGUUUGAUUUGAAUUUCGUACAAGAACUCUCCAUGUCGUCUGGCUAAGAGAGACUGUGUUAGUGCUAAUUCAUCCUCAAUAGUGUUUCUCUGUCCCUAGCUCUCCCAUGUGUGCAUGUAUAUGUGUUGGGGGAUUUUAUAAUUGUCAAGCCAAUGGAAACUAGUGAAACCGGUAGUAUCAAUUUUGAUUGUGCUGAAAAUGAUACUUGGUGUGCAUAUGCCAUAUAGGCCCUGGAAGGUAGACCAUGAUCUAUUGAUUUACUAUGUCAGUAGAUAUGAGUUUCACAUAAUAAGAAUAGUAUAUGCCUAGAGAGCAAAAGCUUUCUUCAUGUUCUAUUUACGGCUGCUGCAGGUAAGCUGAAAGAGCCAGGCUUGUGCAGAGCUCUUGAACUGGGCAGCACCUUUAAACCUGAGUAUCCUUUCUUCCAAAUUGCGGUGAGGUGAAUAUAUCUGAAGAAAAGCAAUGUGACGGUUCCUGGUUCAUUGUCCCAGACGCACAUCAAGAAAAGUCUGCAGACCCAGGCUCUCGUAUUUCUGGACAAAUCUUGGCCAGUGAAGCUCAUCAGCCACGAUAAUUAUGGGAAGUUAUUUGCCGCUUGGGCCACAUUCACGAGAGAAACCUCUCUGAAGGCGGGAGACAUACGUGAUUGAGCUUAUUAGAAAGGACGAUAUUGCGUUCGGAGUAUCCAUCUUCAGAACCACCGAGAAGACUCGUUCAGAAUAUCAUGAAAAAGGACACAGCAGAGGAAGAAUCCUCUAGGCCAUUUUUUGGUGAGAACAUAACUUCAGAAUUGCUAGGCUGAAAUCUGCUUCCAAUUCGGCAAAUUGGAUAAAAGCGUGAGUUUUGUUCUAAUGAAUGGAAUGGUCCUCAAUGUGUAUCAUACCUUCCUUUGAUCCUUGUGCUGUCACCAUGUGGGCAUGAAUCAUGAGAUGGAGGAGGCUGACUGCUGACGUCAAAUUAAGUGCUUCUUCAAUGUUUCCGGUGGCUCAACCCGACCUUUGGAACUAUAAAGUGUAGUAACAUCGAAUACACUUCCCUUCAGCCAUAUUACCAACUCUGAAUUUCAAUGCACAACCCAUGGUUUUACAAGCUCAAUGUGGACAUACAUUAGACUCUUUUCAUGGUCUCUUUCUGAAUUCUUGAAGAUUCUGCGACAAGCCUUUUUGCAUGUGGGCUGCGCAAAUUGAAGUUUUCUUAGUUUCUUCUCAUGUGAAGAGCAUUCGGAACUCAUUUUGUCAAAUGAAUUGAAUCUUGAAGCGCAUGUCCAAGUAAUUUGGAAUGAAA